CAAGGAGACAGGUGGUGCAUGGUUGUCGUCAGCUCGUGUCGUGAGAUGUUGGGUUAAGUCCCGCAACGAGCGCAACCCCUGUCAUUAGUUGCCAUCAUUAAGUUGGGCACUCUAAUGAGACUGCCGGUGACAAACCGGAGGAAGGUGGGGAUGACGUCAAAUCAUCAUGCCCCUUAUGUCCUGGGCUACACACGUGCUACAAUGGUCUGUACAGAGGGCAGCGAAGUGGCGACACGGAGCGAAUCCCAGAAAGCAGAUCUCAGUUCGGAUUGCAGGCUGCAACUCGCCUGCAUGAAGUCGGAAUCGCUAGUAAUCGCAGGUCAGCAUACUGCGGUGAAUACGUUCCCGGGCCUUGUACACACCG
rnacentral:rRNA from 1 species